rnacentral:rRNA from 1 species
UAACCUGCCCAAGAGAUCGGGAUAACACCUGGAAACAGAUGCUAAUACCGGAUAACAACAGAUGAUGCCUAUCAACUGUUUAAAAGAUGGUUCUGCUAUCACUCUUGGAUGGACCUGCGGUGCAUUAGCUAGUUGGUAGGGUAACGGCCCACCAAGGCGAUGAUGCAUAGCCGAGUUGAGAGACUGAUCGGCCACAUUGGGACUGAGACACGGCCCAAACUCCUACGGGAGGCAGCAGA